CAAGUAAGACUGUGUCUGGAAGCCAGAAGGGCUUCUAUGCUCUGUUUUUAACUUGUUUUUAACUUCUUAUCUCCACAACUUCUGUGGAAAUUUAAUUGAACUGAGAGUUACAAAGGCUUGGAUAUCUCUGUUAAUGCAUAAAGAUACUUGCCUGAACUUUACCUGCCUGCUUGCUGUGAGGAAGCCUUAAUUGAAUUUUGCAGAAUAAGCUGAAGAACUGCUUUAUUGCUGCCAUUGCUGGGACUUUUGGGUUCUGUCUUGAAGAUGGUGGACACUUAAGCUUAGAGUUCUUCUCUCAGGAAUAAUUAAGUCUGCAAUACCGACAGUUGAACGAAGAAGAGAUAUCAGCUUAAAGAUAAGUGUCCACUGGAGGUGACUCAGCUGAAAAAGCAACUCUGUCUUAUCUACUUUGUUAGAACUUUGGCAAACUAUGAAGCUCCCUUCAGUGUGAGCAACUGAAACAACUGUUGGUUUAGCUGGACAGAAUAAGUUUAGUAGAUUGCUCCAUUCUGAAGGAUUGUUGUGUAGACUGAGUUGUGUACCACUUGCUGUCUCCUUGACUCUUUUAUUCAAGGAAGAAAGUAGACAGGAACUAUGUACGGAGGAAUUGUGUGGGCUGGUCUUGCUGUUUAUGAGCUCAAGAGUUACUUUUGAGGAGUUUUUGGAAUUGCAACUGACAUACACUAGAAUAUCUGAAUUUUACCAUAUUUGAGCUUUAUAUAGUGAAGAAACAACUGGUUGGGGAGUUGUGCAAGAUAAAACUCUGUUAACAAGACAUCUUAUGUUUAUGUAAUUGGUGACUGAUAUGCCUCACAAACAGAAGAAAAGAUCUAGACCGUUUAAUGAUCCUCCUAAUGGAGCCCUCCUCCUUUAGAACUAUCCAAGUUGGAUAAUUAUCUGCAUCAGCAUAUUCCACAUAAAACGGAUAAUUUAAUAGGGCUUUGUGGCCCUAUGUCAACUUCAAACCUUUAUGCACCUCUUACUGAGGAAAAUAAUUUAAAAUCACCACAACAAAGCACUGAUGACUUCUCUUCUGAAGAGGAACUCCUCGUAGGUAACGGUGGUCAAAAUUCCUCUUUUGGAUUGCCUCAAUUUGUCAAGGAGAAAACUUCAUUUGAUCCUGACUCUGUGGGAUGCUUCUUGCCUCAUGUCUCUGUCUCCCAUGAGCAGCUACAAUCAAAAUUGCUAGCAGAAAUGAGGAUUAGCCCUUCUGAGCUUGGAACCAAUGGCUCUUUUGAGGAUGACAACAGUAAUGAAAUCUUGAACUUUUGUCAGGAUAAGACAGCAGCUGUACGAGCAGCAGAAAGGAGGAAGCUUGUAACAGCUGAAAUGUUCCAUGGGCAGAUACAUGGUAAGAAUCUGUUCAUGUGACCCGCAGCAAAACUAUUUGGAGAACGGUUCUAAUAAAAGGUGUUUUUAUUCUA